rnacentral:lncRNA from 10 species
CUUAAAUGUCUAGCUGUGGGCUGGGGCCUUCGCUGGGGCUGUCAGUUGGAUCUUUUAUAUGUGGCCUCUUUAUAUGUUCUAGGCUUCCCCACAAAAUAGUAGCUGGGUUCCAAUGGUGAUUAUCUAUUGGGAGAAAGAUUCAGGCAGAAGAGGGAUUUUCUUUUAUGACCUAACCUUAGAAAUCUCACCCCUGGAACCUGUGAAGGUGACCUUAUUUGGAAAUCACAUUUUUGCAGAUAUAAUCAAGUUAAAAUGAGGUCAUACUGCAUUAGAAUGGGCCUUAAUCCAAUGACUGGUUUCCUUAUAAGAAGAGGAAAAUUUGGACACAGAAUAUACAUGGGGGAUAAUGUCAUGUGGCAGUAGAGGCAGAGAUUGGAAUGAUGAUCUACAAGCCAAGGAAUGCCAAGGAUUACUGGCAACCAGCAGAAGCGAGGAGAGAGGCAUGGAAAAGAUUCUCCUUUGGAGCCUCCAGGGAAAGCUGGGAACCAGCUCUGUGGACACCUUGAUUUCUCACUACUGGCCUCUUGAACUCUGAGAAAAUAAAUUUCCGUUGUUCUAAGCAGCUUCAGAAGGAACCAACCCUGCUGACACCUUGAUUUCAGAUGUCUAACCUCAGAAACUGUAAGAGAAUCCAUUUAUGUUUUUUUUUUAAGCUACCGAAUCUAUGGCACUUUGUUGCAGGAGCUCUAGGAAAUGAAUGCACUCAUGUCUGCUGCAUUCUAUUCACCGAGACAGCAAUGGAUUCCACCCAACUCUAAAGGAAAGGACCGGCCGGGCGCGGCGG